rnacentral:tRNA from 1 species
CCCCUGCUGGGCGACGGCAACGUCGUGUCCCUGGAGGGGCCGCAGCAGGAGAGCGUGUUCUACUUCCGCGCGGAGCA